GGCUUGGUAGCUCAGCUGGUUAGAGUGCUGGCCUGUCACGCCAGAGGUCGAGGGUUCGAUCCCCUUCCAAGUCGCCA
rnacentral:tRNA from 11 species